rnacentral:misc_RNA from 1 species
GAUGAAGAACGCAGCGAAAUGCGAUAAGUAGUGUGAAUUGCAGAAUUCAGUGAAUCAUCGAAUCUUUGAACGCACAUUGCGCCCCUUGUUAUUCCAUGGGGCAUGCCUGUUCGAGCGUCAUUUGUACCUUCAAGCUCUGCUUGGUGUUGGGUGUUUGUCUCGCCUCUGCGUGUAGACUCGCCUCAAAACAAUUGGCAGCCGGCGUAUUGAUUUCGGAGCGCAGUACAUCUCGCGCUUUGCACUCAUAACGACGACGUCCAAAAGUACAUUUUUACACUCUUGACCUCGGAUCAGGUAGGGAUACCCGCUGAACUUAAGCAUAUCAAUAAGCGGAGGA